CUGUGAGCUCGAUGAGUAGGGCGGGACACGUGGUAUCCUGUCUGAAUAUGGGGGGACCAUCCUCCAAGGCUAAAUACUCCUGACUGACCGAUAGUGAACCAGUACCGUGAGGGAAAGGCGAAAAGAACCCCGGCGAGGGGAGUGAAAAAGAACCUGAAACCGUGUACGUACAAGCAGUGGGAGCACGCUUCGGCGUGUGACUGCGUACCUUUUGUAUAAUGGGUCAGCGACUUAUAUUCUGUAGCAAGGUUAACCGAAUAGGGGAGCCGAAGGGAAACCGAGUCUUAACUGGGCGUUAAGUUGCAGGGUAUAGACCCGAAACCCGGUGAUCUAGCCAUGGGCAGGUUGAAGGUUGGGUAACACUAACUGGAGGACCGAACCGACUAAUGUUGAAAAAUUAGCGGAUGACUUGUGGCUGGGGGUGAAAGGCCAAUCAAACCGGGAGAUAGCUGGUUCUCCCCGAAAGCUAUUUAGGUAGCGCCUCGUGAAUUCAUCUCCGGGGGUAGAGCACUGUUUCGGCAAGGGGGUCAUCCCGACUUACCAACCCGAUGCAAACUGCGAAUACCGGAGAAUGUUAUCACGGGAGACACACGGCGGGUGCUAACGUCCGUCGUGAAGAGGGAAACAACCCAGACCGCCAGCUAAGGUCCCAAAGUCAUGGUUAAGUGGGAAACGAUGUGGGAAGGCCCAGACAGCCAGGAUGUUGGCUUAGAAGCAGCCAUCAUUUAAAGAAAGCGUAAUAGCUCACUGGUCGAGUCGGCCUGCGCGGAAGAUGUAACGGGGCUAAACCAUGCACCGAAGCUGCGGCAGCGACACUAUGUGUUGUUGGGUAGGGGAGCGUUCUGUAAGCCUGUGAAGGUGUACUGUGAGGUAUGCUGGAGGUAUCAGAAGUGCGAAUGCUGACAUAAGUAACGAUAAAGCGGGUGAAAAGCCCGCUCGCCGGAAGACCAAGGGUUCCUGUCCAACGUUAAUCGGGGCAGGGUGAGUCGACCCCUAAGGCGAGGCCGAAAGGCGUAGUCGAUGGGAAACAGGUUAAUAUUCCUGUACUUGGUGUUACUGCGAAGGGGGGACGGAGAAGGCUAUGUUGGCCGGGCGACGGUUGUCCCGGUUUAAGCGUGUAGGCUGGUUUUCCAGGCAAAUCCGGAAAAUCAAGGCUGAGGCGUGAUGACGAGGCACUACGGUGCUGAAGCAACAAAUGCCCUGCUUCCAGGAAAAGCCUCUAAGCAUCAGGUAACAUCAAAUCGUACCCCAAACCGACACAGGUGGUCAGGUAGAGAAUACCAAGGCGCUUGAGAGAACUCGGGUGAAGGAACUAGGCAAAAUGGUGCCGUAACUUCGGGAGAAGGCACGCUGAUAUGUAGGUGAAGCGACUUGCUCGUGGAGCUGAAAUCAGUCGAAGAUACCAGCUGGCUGCAACUGUUUAUUAAAAACACAGCACUGUGCAAACACGAAAGUGGACGUAUACGGUGUGACGCCUGCCCGGUGCCGGAAGGUUAAUUGAUGGGGU
rnacentral:rRNA from 1 species